UUCAGCACUACCAACUUACUUAUCUACUAGGGAGGCAAUGGUAACAAAUCUUCUAGACUUCUACUGGUUGGAACGCAUCGAACUAUAAUCGAGUUCCCGUGUGCAGAUAAUAAUACACAACGAAGUGCCACAUACCUACCCGAAGGUGUUUAUUAGAGUGGAUUACUUUAUUUUUUCCAUAAAAAGAUGAUUGGUUAAGAGUUGCAAGUGUAUUUAUUUUCCAGGUUGCAUCGCUAUGCUAUGUCUCAUUUUCACUAUAAACUACCAACAAAAGCCUUAACUGGGAAAUUGCAGUUGUUUUAGUCCAUGGAGUAGCAUGCCUCUUUUAUUUUCACAAACUUGAUUUUGGUGGUUUUUUGAAAGACUUCUCUACUACAAGCAUUUUGUUAUGAUCAAAAUGAUCAUUUUUUCACUAGCAAUAUUCCAUCAGUCUUAUACUAA